rnacentral:tRNA from 1 species
CGGGCCGUGGCGCAGCCUGGCUAGCGCGCUUGCUUGGGGUGCAAGAGGUCGCGAGUUCGAAUCUCGCCGGCCCGACCA